rnacentral:rRNA from 1 species
GAACCGUGAAUAACGGAGUGAAAUAGAUCCUGAAACCAUACGCUUACAAGCGGUCGGAGUCCUAUAUGGAUGACGGCGUGCCUUUUGCAUAAUGAGCCUACGAGUUAACGUUGCCAGCGAGGUUAAGGGUUUAAGACCUGGAGCCGUAGCGAAAGCGAGUCUGAAUAGGGCGCUUUAGUUGGUAGUGUUAGACGCGAAACCGUGUGAUCUACCCUUGGGCAGGUUGAAGCUGUGGUAACACAUAGUGGAGGACCGAACCCGUUGACGUUGAAAAGUCUUGGGAUGACCUGAGGGUAGGGG